UCAUUAGAUCCAUUUGUGGAAAUGGGCAAAGGGCUCGAGAAGACAGGUGGCUGGGGACAGGGAUUCUGCACAGACAUGUCCGUUGCCUAAAUAAACGCACGAAGAGAUUCUGAACACCUUAGCCACCAAGGAAAGGCAAUGCAGAAGCACAGGGGAUUCUACUCUACCCUCCAAUGGCUCUGAUACAGAACAAUAUGGUAGUAAAUGUUGCUGGGGGCUGGGCGGAACUGGAAUUCUACGUGGAAUCAUAAAACGCUUUGGAAAACUACCCAGCAGGUCUGAUUCCUGGGGGACCGGCUGUGGCCCCCUGAAUCUUCCGGGAAGUGGGAGGCUCACCUGUCCGCAGUGCUCAGCACAGCACUGCUCAUGAUGACCCUGAAGUGGACGGAAACUGAAUGGCUAACAGCUAAGGAGCAGGGUGAGGAUUCCAACCCAAUCACAGUGAACCUAGUGCUGGUGGCAGGAACUCUAUUUGCUUGGACAGCGUGGCUGGUUGAUCGGCUCUGUACAGUCUUUCCUUUCUUCCCCUGCUCUGGCCUAGAAGCAUCUGACUCUGCGACAGUCCUGGGGCAACACAUGAGGUGGACAGGCAGGAAGUAGCCCCCCAACUUCUUCCAUACGUUGUUUCUGCCAGGUGGUCCAUUUUCUCCCUAAGGGUCUCACCGUAUAGUUGAGACUGACCUGGAACUCAC